GUUCCUCCGUGGGCUACAAACGCUUUGAUCUUGGGAUGUCCCAGGAGGUCGUUCUGUGGUAUCCAGUCCACGAUAAGAGUGUUGUUGCCCACAGAGGAUGGCCGAUCUCCAAGAUGUCUCCAGAUGACUUUCUGAGGUCCAUCUUUGCGCACACACUCAAGCUUUAAAUGGGGCAUGAAUGAAGCCUGCCUCAAUGAGGCCAAUGAACCACUGAUGUCACAUGGACUAUUUUACCAAUGUCCUUAUACGUUUCUGGGUCUUGGAACAUUUCUGUUGCAUUGCUCGCUAUGGAGGGUCAGAAAGCUCGCGGAUUUAAUCAAAAACAUCUUAAUUUGUGUUCCGAAGAUGAACGAAGGUCUUACGGGUUUGGAACGACAUGAAGGGUGAAUAAUUAAAGACAGAAUUUUCAUUUUUGGGUGAACUAUCCCUAUUAGAUGCAUGGUUAACCCUGGCAGUGAACUGUAACAAGCUCUUGCUCUAUUUCAACUUAUUCACUUUGUGCCAUGUUUGGAUUACUUAAAUAAGUGUUUUGUGUUUUCUUCAGAAUGCACUGUUUGUUCUAACAGUUUCCUAUUUUGUAUAUGCACUUUUAAGUCUAAUGUGACAGUUAAUAUUUUUUUACAAAUGUCUUUGCUGUUCUUAAUCUACAGCCUUUAAAGUGUUUUUGUUUUGAUACUUCUGUGUAAUCGAUUAAUGGCAGCUGUGCUCAGUCCUCCAUAUUUGCAAAG